CCUACGGGAGACAGCAGUCGAGAAUCAUUCACAAUGGGGGAAACCCUGAUGGUGCGACGCCGCGUGGGGGAAUGAAGGUCUUCGGAUUGUAAACCCCUGUCAUGUGGGAGCAAAUUAAAAAGAUAGUACCACAAGAGGAAGAGACGGCUAACUCUGUGCCAGCAGCCGCGGUAAUACAGAGGUCUCAAGCGUUGUUCGGAAUCACUGGGCGUAAAGCGUGCGUAGGCUGUUUCGUAACUCGUGUGUGAAAGGCGCGGGCUCAACCCGCGGACGGCACAUGUUACUGCGAGACUAGAGUAAGGGAGGGGGAACCGGAAUUCUCGGUGUAGCAGUGAAAUGCGUAGAUAUCGAGAGGAACACUCGUGGCGAAGGCGGGUUCCUGGACAUUAACUGACGCUGAGGCACGAAGGCCAGGGGAGCGAAAGGGAUUAGAUACCCUGUAGUC
rnacentral:rRNA from 1 species